GGGCAAUCUGCCCUUCACUCUGGGACAAGCCCUGGAAACGGGGUCUAAUACCGGAUAAUACUCCUGCCUGCAUGGGUGGGGGUUGAAAGCUCCGGCGGUGAAGGAUGAGCCCGCGGCCUAUCAGCUUGUUGGUGGGGUAAUGGCCCACCAAGGCGACGACGGGUAGCCGGCCUGAGAGGGCGACCGGCCACACUGGGACUGAGACACGGCCCAGACUCCUACGGGAGGCAGCAGUGGGGAAUAUUGCACAAUGGGCGAAAGCCUGAUGCAGCGACGCCGCGUGAGGGAUGACGGCCUUCGGGUUGUAAACCUCUUUCAGCAGGGAAGAAGCGAAAGUGACGGUACCUGCAGAAGAAGCGCCGGCUAACUACGUGCCAGCAGCCGCGGUAAUACGUAGGGCGCAAGCGUUGUCCGGAAUUAUUGGGCGUAAAGAGCUCGUAGGCGGCUUGUCACGUCGGAUGUGAAAGCCCGAGGCUUAACCUCGGGUCUGCAUUCGAUACGGGCUAGCUAGAGUGUGGUAGGGGAGAUCGGAAUUCCUGGUGUAGCGGUGAAAUGCGCAGAUAUCAGGAGGAACACCGGUGGCGAAGGCGGAUCUCUGGGCCAUUACUGACGCUGAGGAGCGAAAGCGUGGGGAGCGAACAGGAUUAGAUACCCUGGUAGUCCACGCCGUAAACGUUGGGAACUAGGUGUUGGCGACAUU
rnacentral:rRNA from 1 species